rnacentral:rRNA from 1 species
AUUCCAGCUCCAAUAGCGUAUACUAAAGUUGUUGCAGUUAGAAAGCUCGUAGUUGAAUUUCUGGAUGUGAAAGGUGGUCGGCACCUCACGGUGUCUGUACUUAUCAUUCGCGUCCAUCCUCGGGAGGAACAUGUGGACACUUAAGUGGGUCUGCUUGGGAAUCUCGUCAUUUACUGUGAGCAAAAUAGAGUGUUCAAAGCAGGCUUAUGCCGUUGAAUAUAUUAGCAUGGAAUAAUAAGAUACGACUUUGGUCUAUUUUGUUGGUUUACAUUCCAAAGUAAUGAUUAAUAGGGAUAGUUGGGGGUAUUCGUAUUCAAUUGUCAGAGGUGAAAUUCUUGGAUUUAUGGAAGACGAACUACUGCGAAAGCAUUUACCAAGGAUGUUUUCAUCG